rnacentral:lncRNA from 1 species
UUGGGAUAAGUACUGCAUAAAUUUAGCAAUACAAAACAACUUCUCAAUUUAACAAUCAAAUCAACAAAAAAAAACCCACUAAAAGCAAAGACCAACACAUCUAUAACCUGCAAUUUUGUAACUCAUGAUUGGAAAAUUGUCUUCCAUCUUCAUUUAAAAUCCAUCAAUCAUUGUGCCCAACAAAAAUUUAGAAUUGUUGCUCUGUGAUGAGUGAGUUUUAUA